rnacentral:rRNA from 1 species
AUGGUGGCCAUGGCGAGGCCGGCGGGGUCGCGCCACUAAGUGUUGCGCUUGGGGCGCGCCGUGACUCAGGUGGAGAUCAGGACUGCGUACCGCUCUUUGGCCAAGCGCCUCCACCCCGACAUCGCCUCCUGCGGCCACGGGGGUCCCGAGGCGUUCCUGGAGAUCCGAAGAGCGUACGAGAUGCUGUCGGACCUUGCCGCCAGGGCGCGCUACGACAGCUCGCUCGGGGUGUUCCGCAGCGGGGGCGCAGGCGGCGUGAUGCCGGUGCGGAGGUGGGAGACGGACCAGUGCUGGUGA